UGAGUGUGAAGACCUGAGGUAUCAGGGGUAGGGGUUGCUCUGCUUGUGUAAGUCCCAUAGUGUGAAGGCCAGAGAACCAAGAGAUGGUCAAGAAGAGAGAGUAAGUGUCCAAUGUCCCAGCUCAAGAAGAGAGACAAGACCAACCCCGCCUCUUCCUUCUCCUUCUCGACCUACUCAAAGUAAAGAUGAGGAUGAAGACCCUUAAGAUGAUCCACUCCCACUUAAUGAAUACAAUGGCUUCCAGGAGCAUCACGACCUGUGCAGACUCCCCAGCAUCAUAACAGGAAGGUCCCACGAUCACGAGCACAUUGCCUUCAGCAUCCAGCACUGAAUAUGGUGAAUUGCACUCUGAAGAGCUUCCUAAGCUUGUAAGAAAGUGAUUCUGAAAAGCUCAACAUUUUGGUAGAAUGGAGAGAUUUGACAUUGCUUCUGCUCCAAAAGCAAAAGACUUGGGCCUGGCGUAAAGGAGAUGGGACUCACACCCAAGAGGAUGCAUUUCCAUACACCCAUUUCUGAAAUAUGAAGAGGUGUCCAGUCUGUUUGAUUCAUAGCUGCCUGUUCCACAACUGCAGAUACAGUAAUUGAUAACCGAGACCAAGUUCUCAUCCCCAUCUCCCAGGGCUGGAACUGGGGCUGUGUUUGGUUCUCAUAAGAUCAGUUCCAGUUUUAGAAACUGAGUAAAUUGUGGAGUAAAUAUUGCCAAGUGAUGGCUUUCUGCUGUAGGCGUGGGUCGCUGUUGGCCAUUUGCCUCAGCAUAUCACCAGCAAUGCACCUCAUUGCAUCACUGCAUUUCCAAUUACACCUCAAAGCACCACUGGUCCCCUGUCCACCCUCUGCCCUGCAGAGGUGGGUGUUCAGGGAGACAGAUCCAAAAUCUGGGCUCAGAAGAUGGAAAUGCCAACUGCUCUCAAUUUGAGAGUGGGGAUGAGACUUUUUGACUCAACUCUGGUUAAUUCAGCCAUGCUGUCAGAGCUGCUUUGAUGCAAGGACAUCUGAAUGCUAUCUGAAUGCUGCCCCUAAAAUAACAAAUUAAAAACAACAACAACAACAAAAA
ensembl:lncRNA LINC01584 long intergenic non-protein coding RNA 1584